rnacentral:lncRNA from 1 species
CCGACAUAAAAAAGUUAAAACUUAUCAAGAAUGCUCAGAAUAAUAUUUCCAUGAAAAGAUACUGGAUAAAGUGCAAAUAUCAAGGAUAUUCUACUAAUUUCAUGGAGUAUAGAAGCCAAACUUUAACAAAACAAGUAUAGAAUGAAGAUCAAAAUAUGGAUACAAUCAAUGUUAGUAACCAUAAUAGACAUCUGAGACAAAAAAG